GGGCCUGUAGCUCAGCUGGUAGAGCAGUUGACUCUUAAUCAAUUGGCCGGAGGUUCGAGCCCUCCCAGGCCCACCA
rnacentral:tRNA from 1 species